AAGUCGUAACAAGGUAUCCGUAGGUGAACCUGCGGAUGGAUCAUUAUCAAAACGUUAUCCACGUAUAAACCAAUCUUAUCGUGAACUGUUUGUAUGCCUUUCGAAGUAGAGGAGGAACGGGGCCUUUCGGGGACUUUACUACUCUUUGAAACGAAAGCGUAUAAUUACUUCAUAACAACAUUAACCAAUUGAACCAUUUCUAAAUGAAAUUGUUUUUUAUCUUCUUUGUGUGAACUGAAUUGUUUCUUACUCGUAAUUCAUUUUAUGAGAAGAAAUCUAUUUACGAAACAAAGUAAAAAAGAACAACUCUUAGCAACGGAUAUCUUGGUUCUC
rnacentral:misc_RNA from 1 species